GCUGGGCAUGGUGGCCCAUGCCUAAAAUCCCAGCUACUUAGGAGGCUGAGGCAGGAGGAUUGCUUGAGUCCAGGAGGUUGAGGCUGCAGUGUGCCAUUAUUGUGCCACUGUACUUUAGCCUGGGUGACAGAACAAGACCCUGUCUCAA
rnacentral:sRNA from 1 species